AAGACAGUUGUCCUGUUAAGAACUCCCUUAGGUUUCUCAAUCUGUUGUUGCACAAUUAUGCCAGAGAUUAUAAACAUUAUUUGAAAGUUGUUUUUAUACUAAGGCUGUUUCCUGCUGUCAUUUGUUAAAUAGUUCCUUGGACAACUAAGACUGCCUGGACAUUUGUUCCUUUCCAUGUGAACCAUUUGGUUGCUCACCUUCUUCCUACCAGAAAGAAAAGAAACACUCAUCUCUUCCACCUCAAGAUCGCUGCAUCUACUAACUGUGGGCUGACAGAAAGCUAAGACAUUCACAGGAUGCAUCUGAUGUCUUGCUCUAUUGUCACCAAGGAAGGUACUGGGAAGAGAAAUUCUCAGUUCAGCAGAAAAGCGGCAGACGACAAAGGCAAAUGGCCCAGGCUUGCUGAUCUUGAAUGGUUCUGUGCUUCUGUAGCUCCCAGGCAAGCCAAUGGGAGAUGGGGCCUUUCACAACCACUCCACAUUUGGUUCUCCUUAACCAGAACUUGGGGAAAAAAGAUGAGUAUUUUAUAUUGAGUAUUGCUGCCUUGUUAGAUUAUUUACUUAUUGCUGCUAGCUGUUUUUCAGAAAUGCUGUGUGAAAUCAGGCACAUGGUAGGCUAAUCAAAAUUGCCAGAGUUGGCCCCUAGGCAGCUGUUGUUAUUAUUGAAAGGUAGUAAGAUUCAUUAUAAUUUCACUUUUUCAAGACAGAGUGCUAAAGCAUUUUUAUAUGAAUAUAACCAUGUAGGUACAAGGCACAGAUGCAUGUACAAUGUUAGCACUUCCUAAAGUUAUUAACUACCUAGUUAGAAUGAACAGCCUGUGGUGUACUACCACAACUAUUAUAGACUCAAUAGUAUAAUACACAAUCUAAGUAGCUACAAAAGUCAAACCUGUCUAGUGAAAAUCAGUCUGUGAGAUCCUUUAAGAUCUUCAAAGUAAUGAGAUCUGUCAUAUAAUGUUUUCCUUUACUGUCUUGUUCAAGCAAAAGGAAGACAGGGCAGGAAUAACUUGUAAACAACAGCUGUAACAUGACUGCCCAGUUAUGCCAUGCUUCUGCAGCCUGGCAGACUUGCUUUUGAUACUCAGGACACGGAUAGAUCCACAUUUUUCUAACACACACUCCUCUAUUAGAAACUGAUUAUUUAGCAAGAUCAAAACCUUCCACUGAAACUUCCAAAUUUAGCUGCCCAAUUUGGCAGCAAGAACUGCCAAAGAAUGGCAAAAGAAAGGCAAAAUGUUCUCGAACCUUGCAAAGAUAAUGUCACAGAGUGGAACUUCUUAAAAACAUUGUGAAGAGAGUAAGUAAAGUGUUCUUAUUAC
rnacentral:lncRNA from 7 species